rnacentral:lncRNA from 1 species
AGGUAUUGGAACGGUCAGCUGAAGGAUACAUGAUGGUGUAGUGAGGAGAUUGGGGGAGAUCUGAUACAUAUCUGAUUUCAGACAGAAUCUUAUCUCACUGAGCAGACUGGAUUCGAGAGGCUACAAAAUGGUAGCUGAUGGAGGAAUCCUAAAGGUGUUGCACGGUGAUAGGAUUAUUCUGGAGGGAAAGAAGAGGAUGAGAGCAUAUUACUACCUGGUGGAGAGCCCAAUGCGAGGUGGAGCUUCAGGAGUCAGGAGGAGCCCAGAGUGAGGUGAAGCUCUAGGUAGAGGUGGAUCGGGCACUAGAC